UACGUAGGAUCCAAGCGUUAUCCGGAAUUACUGGGCGUAAAGAGUUGCGUAGGUGGUUUUGUAAGCGAGUAGUGAAAUGACGGGGCUCAACCCUGUGUCCAUUACUUGAACUGCAGAACUAGAGGGCGAGAGAGGUUACUAGAAUUUCUUGUGUAGGAGUGAAAUCCGUAGAUAUAAGAAGGAAUACCGAUGGCGUAGGCAGGUAACUGGCUCGCACCUGACACUAAGGCACGAAAGCGUGGGUAGCGAACAGG
rnacentral:misc_RNA from 1 species